rnacentral:snRNA from 1 species
AUUUCCGUGGUUAGACACUUUCU